GGAGCCUUCAGCCCGCCCACGGAGAUGCGAUCCCCGGGGGCUCCUUCCUUGUGGCUAUGGAGAGGUUCGCCAUCUCCCGGUCUUGAAGAAAAUGUCUGAUGAGGGAGACUGUAGGCUCUUUCGGCGCAAACUUAGCUCCGGUUGGAAAACUGUUUGCCAUUCGGCACUUAGGGCACUUAGUCUACUUAUAUCUGUUGUGUGCCCAGUGGCCCUGUCUUGGGACUUUUGAAGAGGCCCACAAGGAUGCUCUGGGACUGCUUAAAGCCAGCAAAAUGAGAAAAUGGGCGCCCCUUUCUCCAGCGCCCUCUAGUGUCCUACCCCCCACUGCGGCAGCAGAGGACUAAGGGUGUUGUAGACCGCAGGCCUGGCCAGGGAGGAUCCUGUACUGGGAGGAGGGUAUUGACCAGAGGGAGGAGGUGCGGGUCCUGAGGCAGGGGCCUUUCCCUUUCAUCGCCCACCUGCUCAAUUGCUGCCACCUGCCUUGACUCCCUUUCCGGUGGAGGUCAGUGUGGACCAGGCUGGGGGCCGUACUGCCCACUCCAGGUCCCUUGUGAAUAAAGGGCCCAUGUUCUGUGUCCUCUGGGACUGAAAAAAGGUGAUUAAAUAACCAAAACAUAUGCCAGAGCAGUGGGUUCCAAAGGGUUCCAGAAGCUAGGUGGUAGUCCAUCCCUUUAAUCUCAGCAGCCAGGAGGCAGAGGUAGGUGCAUCUUUGUGAGUUCAAGGCUCACCAGGGCUAGAACUACAAAGACGACACUGUCUCUAAACAAAAACAGAACAGUAUGUGGAGGCUUCAUUUGAGACCUUCCUGCUCCUAACAGCUGGUAAGAAAGGAAGUGAGGAAGAGGAUGCGGAACAGGGGAAGAGGAUGGGGAACAGGGAGGAGCACUCCCCAGCAAAAGGCCUACUACACAGCUGGGCCAGGAAGGGAGCACUGAGGCAGGCCUCUGCUCGCUCACUGGAACAGCACACAGGUGGCUCUGGGACUAAGAACAGCAGGAAGCUGAAGGUGGGCUAGAAAGAGGGUCAGAGGCAGGAUGGAAGUCUGCCCUCUGCCUCUUUCAGGAAACCACCCAAGGAGUGGAGAGGGCUGGAGGGGUCCAGGUGUGAGCGAAGGGUGAGCCCCUGAGAUUGGCCAUAGAGGUCGGGGUCCCUUGUUCUUUCCCCAGCUCUGCUGAACCUGGCCAGGCAUCUUCUGCCCCGUGAGCCCCACCCUGCGCUCCAUCCCACCGCCUCACUCAGGUUCUCUUCUUCUUUACAAGCCCUUUGCUUUGACAUAUAUAGCUGCUUCCAGGGAAAUGGAAUGAACUGAAGAGUUUGCCAUCCAGUUGCUCUCAUGAUUCGGCUGGACUGACUCUACCUUCUCUGGAGGAAAACGCUGCCAGCAGCAGCCAGGAGCCUGUUCUGCAGCACCUGUGGCCUGUGGCUCAUUCUUCCAGCCACACGAACUGUUUCACAUCUCAGCUCAGUAUGGCCCACCACAGCAGUGAGUCCAGAAGCCAUUCCAAAUGUGGCCUCCAGGUGGCAGUGAAGAGCCAGCCUGACAAUGUGACCAGCCCUUCACACCUGAAAUACACGGAACAGAGACAAACAGCGUUUCAGACACACAGCAGCCAAAAACCCCAUUGUCAACCUAACACCUGGUGACAUUGUCACCUGGCUUCUUCAAUUAGGAAACCUUGUCUCGGCCGGGCGGUGGUGGCGCACGCCUUUA